AAUUGACGGCAAGCGGAGAGGCCCAUCAACUAUAUAAUAUGAGUUUUUGGGUGUAAUUUAUCACAUGUGGUAUUAUGAAUCUCAACGCAAUAAUGGAGUAGUCUAGUCCAUGUGAAAAAGACGCGUUAACUAUAACAAUUCAUUAGACGAAAAAGAAUAAUUCUAGACAUGAACAUAAUAAUGGAGUCGUCUAGUUCAUCAAAAUCUACAGGUUACAAACUUUACAUCAUGAAAAAUUCAAAUAGUAAUUCCCAAUAUAACCUCAUAAUACCCCCGUUAACACUCACCUAUACUAUCAUUCACAAGGGUAGAAAAGGCUAAUUGAUUUGAGCUACUGUACUCCAUGGCAAAUGACAGAGUGCAAGAAGUGAGCACGGUUUGAUAUCUGAUAUAUCAACACUUCAAAGCUCUAACAAACUCUUGUUUUCUUCAUGGAGGCAUGUAGAACCAUAGCCUAAGAACUUUAACAGUUGAGCAAGCCAUGAGAGCGACCACCCGGAUCGAAGAGGCAAAAAACCUUAUAUAGGAUGCUAGGCUAAGGACUUUUUACACCAGAUGAUAGUGUAGUCUUUCCAUUAUGAGAAAGAAAGCAUCUAUAUAUAAAUCAUACUGACUAUAAUAAGUUAAAUGAUAAAGACGGACACUGACAGGAGAUGA
rnacentral:lncRNA from 1 species